rnacentral:tRNA from 1 species
AAACAAAGAAGUAAUAAAUACAUUUAGUUUCGACCUAAAAAUUAGGAAUUUACAACCCAUGUUUA